rnacentral:rRNA from 1 species
UACGUAGGGGGGCUAGCGUUGUCCGGAAUCAUUGGGCGUAAAGAGCGCGUAGGCGGCCAGAUAAGUCCGGUGUGAAAGUCACAGGCUCAACCUGUGAAUGCCGCUGGAAACUGUCUGGCUAGAGUCCGGAAGGGGCGAGUGGAAUUCCUGGUGUAGCGGUGAAAUGCGCAGAUAUCAGGAGGAACACCGGUGGCGAAGGCGGGUCUCUGGACAGUUCCUGACGCUGAGGCACGAAGGUCAGGGGAGCAAACGGG